rnacentral:rRNA from 1 species
AUGGAAGUCUUUUUUUAUUCUUUAUUAUUGAAUCAUGUACCAUUUGUUUUCAAGAUCAGAUCCGAUUAUGGUUGUGUUUACUUCGAUUGUUGCUUAGUGCUUCUUUUUGUGCAGUGUGUGAUUUUUAGAGCUUCAAAUGAAUGGAGGUCGAAGGGUGCUUUAGGAAAUUAUUGUGGUGGUCACGGGGACAUCAGGCCAAAGGCUCUGGAGUAUACAACUUAUGUUUUUCCCUGCGGGAUUGCUUCCUUUACUUGUGCAAGAGGCAGAGGUGCACUCCUCUACAUGGGAGCAUGUGUACUUCUUCGGGUCACAACAAUUCAUAUGCAGACUAGCUGCAGACUAGUGAAGCCAACAAGAAUGCAGAAACACAAUGUUGUCAUGAGAGCGGGGCGCUCUCAUGAGGGACAUGGAGGGCCAGGGAGGUGCAAAGAUCCAUGGAGUUUUCUAUUUUUCCAGUUGUAUCUCCGUGGAUCUGGAAGUAUUUGUAUUGAUGGUUACAAUUGA